rnacentral:rRNA from 1 species
UACGUAGGGUGCAAGCGUUGUCCGGAAUUAUUGGGCGUAAAGAGCUCGUAGGCGGUCUGUCGCGUCGGCUGUGAAAACUCGGGGCUCAACCCCGAGCCUGCAGUCGAUACGGGCAGACUAGAGUGCUGUAGGGGGAGACUGGAAUUCCUGGUGUAGCGGUGAAAUGCGCAGAUAUCAGGAGGAACACCGGUGGCGAAGGCGGGUCUCGUGGGCCGAUGACUGACGCUGAGGAGCGAAAGCGUGGGGAGCGAACAGG